CCUACGGGAGGCAGCAGUAGGGAAUCUUCCACAAUGGGCGAAAGCCUGAUGGAGCAACGCCGCGUGGGUGAAGAAGGUCUUCGGAUCGUAAAACCCUGUUGUUAGAGAAGAAAGUGCGUGAGCGUAACUGUUCACGUUUCGACGGUAUCUAACCAGAAAGCCACGGCUAACUACGUGCCAGCAGCCGCGGUAAUACGUAGGUGGCAAGCGUUAUCCGGUUUUAUUGGGCGUAAAGGGAACGCAGGCGGUUUUUUAAGUCUGAUGUGAAAGUCUUCGGCUUAACCGGAGUAGUGCAUUGGAGACUGGGAGACUUGAGUGCAGAAGAGGAAGGUGGAACUCGAGGUGUAGCGGUGAAAUGCGUAGAUAUAUGGAAGAACACCAGUGGCGAAGGCAGCUCUCUAGUCUGUAACUGACGCUGAGGUUCGAAAGCGUGGGUAGCAAACAGGAUUAGAUACCCUAGUAGUC
rnacentral:rRNA from 1 species